rnacentral:rRNA from 1 species
AGUUUUCGGAUCGUAAAACUUCUGUUGUUAGAGAAGAACGUGUGUAGAGUGGAAAUUACACAAGUGACGUAUCUACAGAAAGGAACGCUACUACGUGCCAGCAGCGCGGUAAUACGUAGUCCGAGCGUGUCCGGAUUUAUGGGCGUAAAGCGAGCGCAGGUGGUUUAAUAAGUCUGAUGUAAAAGGCAGUGGCUCAACCAUUGUGUGCAUUGGAAACUGUUAGACUUGAGUGCAGUAGAGGAGAGUGGAAUUCCAUGUGUAGCGGUGAAAUGCGUAGGUAUAUGGAGGAACACCGGUGGCGAAAGCGGCUCUCUGGACUGUAACUGACACUGAGGCUCGAAAGCGUGGGUAGCAAACAGGAUUAGAUACCCUGGUAGUCCACGCCGUAAACGUUGAGUGCUAGUUGUUUGGGGCUAUCCAGCCCUAAGUGACGCAGCAAACGCAUUAAGCACUCCGCCUGGGGAGUACGACCGCAAGGUUGAAACUCAAAGGAAUUGACGGGGGCCCGCACAAGCGGUGGAGCAUGUGGUUUAAUUCGAAGCAACGCGAAGAACCUUACCAGGUCUUGACAUACCAGUGCUAUUCUUAGAGAUAAGAAGUUACUUCGGUACACUGGAUACAGGUGGUGCAUGGUUGUCGUCAGCUCGUGUCGUGAGAUGUUGGGUUAAGUCCCGCAACGAGCGCAACCCCUAUUGUUAGUUGCCAUCAUUAAGUUGGGCACUCUAGCGAGACUGCCGGUAAUAAACCGGAGGAAGGUGGGGAUGACGUCAAAUCAUCAUGCCCCUUAUGACCUGGGCUACACACGUGCUACAAUGGUUGGUACAACGAGUCGCAAGCUAGUGAUAGCAAGCUAAUCUCUUAAAGCCAAUCUCAGUUCGGAUUGUAGGCUGCAACUCGCCUACAUGAAAUCGGAAUCGCUAGUAAUCGCGGAUCAGCACGCCGCGGUGAAUACGUUCCCGGGCCUUGUACACACCGCCCGUCACACCACGAGAGUUUGUAAUACCCAAAGCCGGUGAGCUAACCUUUUAGGAGGCAGCCGUCUAAGGUAGGAUAGAUGAUUGGGGUGAAGUCGUAACAAGGUAGCC